rnacentral:rRNA from 1 species
AGCAGCCGCGGUAAUUCCAGCUCCAAUAGCGUAUAUUAAAGUUGUUGCAGUUAAAAAGCUCGUAGUUGAAUUUCGGGGUCAGUAGGUCGGUCGUGCCACUGGUAUGAACUGGUUUUACUGAUUCCUCCCUCUUGAAGAACUGUAAUGCCAUUAAUUUGGUGUUGCAGGGAAUCAGGACUGUUUACUUUAGAAAAAUUAGAGUUGUUUAAAGCAGGCUCGCGCUU